ensembl:lncRNA LINC01229 long intergenic non-protein coding RNA 1229
GGGCUUGGAGUAAUGGAGAACUCCAAGGGCAGGAGGUAACCAUUAAAGAGGACCAUCAUGUAGUGUGAGGAGUCAACAUUUCACACUAGAAAGCCCUUGGUUCAAGUUUUGUCUCUGCCACCUACAGAUUUUGUAACCCUGAGAGAAAAGGAAAAUCCUACGGAGGAGGGGCUCUGAUGGCUUUGAAGAAGGCAGUGAAUGGCCACAUGUUCCCUGAGGACAGCACAGGCUAAAGGCUCAGCUAGAAGAAAGGCACAGAGAUAGCAAGGGAAACUAGCUACCUCUUUAUGUACUGCCCUAUGGAGAGGCACACAUGUCAAGAAACUGAGGGAGUGCCUUCCAGUCAACAGCCAGCCAGGAACUAAGGUGCUCAGUACAGCAGCCUCCACAAAGGACUGAACAAUGCCAACAGCUAUUUGACUGUGCUUGGAAGAUCUCCGUUUAGUUAACCCUUCAGAUGAGACCGCAGCCCUGGCCAGCAAACAAAUUGCAGCCUAUGGAAAGACCUUAAGGCAGAAGCACCCAACUGAACCACCCGAGGGCUCUGACUUACAGAAACUGUGAGCAUAUAGUGAAAUGGCCUCUACCUUAUUUUGAAUGGAUUUCUGGGAUAAAGUUCUUCAGUGAUAACAUGUUUGAAUGAUGCUGCCUGGAGUUAAAGGAGGCCAGGAGCACCAGAAGCUGGAGGAGGCCGGGGUGGAUUCUCGCCUGGAGGCUUCAGUGGGAGCACGAGCUCCCGACACUUCGGUUCCAUCUCUUGUUUAAAGGCACCCAGUUUCUCAUCAUUUGUUACAGCACCAUGGAAAACCCACACACAAGUGAAGCCCCGACCCACCUCCCAAGUGCCCAUCUGAGCACCCCUCGUGGACUCUGAGCAGGGGGUUGCCAUCACCAACUCCAAGUCUUGCAGCCCCUCUUCCCUUCAGUCUGGCUGCCACCUUCUUCAUUGCCCUGGAAAAAAAUAAUGAAGUUUCACCAUUUAAAGGGUUUCAGUGCAGCUUGCUAUGGGAACACUGGAGAGUAACACAAAUGGCCAAUUGUCCUAAUAGCCACCAUGGAUUGGAUGGAUGCUAACAACAGGCUCACAGUUCUCCUUCUGUUGCCUCCUUUUAUCCACAUGAGAAUCAAACAAGACUACUGAUUAAAUGAAGCCUUUGAUGAAGUGCAUGCAGUUUGUAGCUUGAUUCAUGGGAAUACUCAUCACAGACUGAAAGUGUAACCCAGGGUCUCUGGGUUUUUGGGAACGCGCUGUGUAAAAGUAUCUACUUGUAACUGUUACUCCCUGAGUUGUUGUUGUUUUAGAAAGUUCCAAGAAGAAGCUUAGCCUUGGAAAAAACAAAAACUGGUUGAAUCCAGAAGUGGAGAUGAAUUUUGGCCAACGCUCCUCACUGCCACACUAAAAACCCUGCUCAGAGAGGAGCUUAUUCACCAUGUUCUAUUCAUGCAAUGUGUGUGGAAACAUGAUCUACGACAGCAUGCGUGCUGCCUUCACCCUACCUCUACAUACAAUGACUCAUUUAACCUGCUGAAUAAAAGCCCUGUUUUCACCUU